UACGUAGGGUCCGAGCGUUGUCCGGAGUUACUGGGCGUAAAGCGCGCGCAGGCGGCGGUGUUGGCCCGGCGUGAAAGCCCCCGGCUCAACCUGUGAAUGCCGCUGGAAACUGUCUGGCUAGAGUCCGGGAGGGGCGAGUGGAAUUCCUGGUGUAGCGGUGAAAUGCGCAGAUAUCAGGAGGAACACCGGUGGCGAAGGCGGAUCUCUGGGCCUUGCCUGACGCUGAGGCGCGAAAGCUAGGGGAGCAAACGGG
rnacentral:rRNA from 1 species